AAACUGAUGGCUGCCAGAGGGGAGGGGGCUGGGGACAUGGGCAAAAUGAGUGAAGGGGAGCCGGGGGUACAGGCUUCCGUUACGGAAUGAAUAAUCCUGGGGAUGAAAGGUACGGCACAGAGAAUAUGUGGGAAGAGCACACUUCUGAACUCCAG